rnacentral:rRNA from 1 species
AGUGAACGCUGGCGGUAGGCCUAACACAUGCAAGUCGAACGGAAGCACAGUAAGAGCUUGCUCUUACGGUUGGCGAGUGGCGGACGGGUGAGGAAUACAUCGGAAUCUACUUUUUCGUGGGGGAUAACGUAGGGAAACUUACGCCAAUACCGCAUACGACCUACGGGUGAAAGCAGGGGAUCUUCGGACCUUGCGCGAUUGAAUGAGCCGAUGCCGCAUUAGCUAGUUGGCGGGGUAAAGGCCCACCAAGGCGACGAUCCGUAGCUGGUCUGAGAGGAUGAUCAGCCACACUGGAACUGAGACACGGUCCAGACUCCUACGGGAGGCAGCAGUGGGGAAUAUUGGACAAUGGGCGCAAGCCUGAUCCAGCCAUACCGCGUGGGUGAAGAAGGCCUUCGGGUUGUAAAGCCCUUUUGUUGGGAAAGAAAAGCAGUAGGUUAAUACCCCGCUGUUCUGACGGUACCCAAAGAAUAAGCCCCGGCUAACUUCGUG